GUUGUUUAUACAAGCUUUGAAAAUAAGAUUGACAUCUUUAAACAAUAUAUACAGGCAUAGUUUAACUUGUAUAAUUUAUAUUUGACCUUAAUUCUUCUCCUUUUAUAUAUUAUAUUGGGCCGUUUUUGUUUUGUUUGUUUUUUGUUUUUUUUUGUUAUUUUUUUGUUUGUUUUUGGAUUGUUUUACUCAAGUAAUUUUUGGGUUAUUUAUAGCGUACUUUUCGGCACUGAACCUAUGACUGCUUACUUUACUAGAUUGUGUCUUUUUUGGAAAGAUGUCUCAUUUGGCACUCAUACCGCAUCUUCUCAUUUCUAUAUACAAAGCACGUUUUAGAAUAAAAAUAAUAGGUAAUGUGGCACCCACUGUGACCCAGGAGCUUUAAAUAUUG
rnacentral:lncRNA from 1 species